rnacentral:rRNA from 1 species
AGUGAACGCUGGCGGUAGGCCUAACACAUGCAAGUCGAACGGCAGCACAGUAAGAGCUUGCUCUUACGGGUGGCGAGUGGCGGACGGGUGAGGAAUACAUCGGAAUCUACUUUUUCGUGGGGGAUAACGUAGGGAAACUUACGCUAAUACCGCAUACGACCUACGGGUGAAAGCAGGGGAUCUUCGGACCUUGCGCGAAUGAAUGAGCCGGUGUCGGAUUAGCUAGUUGGCGGGGUAAAGGCACACCAAGGCGACGAUACGUAGAUGGUCUGAGAGGAUGGUAGGCCACAGUUGGAAUGAGAAACGGGCCAAACUCCUACGGGGGGCCGAAGUGGGGAAUAGUUGGCAAUGGGCGAAAGUCGGAACGCGCAAAGCCGGGGGAGUGAAGAAGGUCUUCGGAUUGUAAAACUCUUUUGGUAGAGAAAAAAGAUGGGGAGAGUAAAAACCCCAUCUUGGGACGGUACCUACACGGAAAGGAACGGCGAACUACGU